CGAGACUGAGUGGGGCUACGGACAAUCGGAACCAGCACCAGCUGUGGGCUGGCUCGCAGACGAACUGAGGAUCUACCAGCGGCCGUGGGACCUUAGGUGGCGGGUCGUUUUCCACACUUCUUUUGUUGUACAGCACCAGGUGAAUAGACUAUAGUAGGUUUUUUUAUGUGGUUUUCUUUUGGUCCACCGCUGCUGGUAAGUCCCAGUUGUGUGUUUAUUUUUAUUGUAAUUUGGGACACCGUUUUAGACAUUCAGUGCGCUCUCAGUGUUUUGUUUUUAUUUUACAUUAAUAAAUAAAAUUGUGUUAAUAUUUGA